rnacentral:rRNA from 1 species
UUGGAGGGCAAGUCUGGUGCCAGCAGCCGCGGUAAUUCCAGCUCCAAUAGCGUAUAUAAAAGUUGUUGCAGUUAAAAAGCCCGUAGUUGAAUUUCGGGAUCAGGUUGUCGGUCGUGCCUCGGUACGCACUGGUAUUAUUGGUUCCUACCUUCUGAAGAACCGCGAUGUCAUUAAUUUGGUGUCGUGGGGAAUCAGGACUGUUACUUUGAAAAAAUUAGAGUGUUUAAAGCAGGCUUUAGCUUGAAUACAUUAGCAUGGAAUAAUGAAAUAGGACGUUCGAACCUAUUUUGUUGGUUUCUAGGAUCAACGUAAUGAUUAAUAGGGAUAGUUGGGGGCAUUAGUAUUCAAUUGUCAGAGGUGAAAUUCUUGGAUUUAUUGAAGACUAACUACUGCGAAAGCAUUUGCCAAGGAUGUUUUCAUUAAUCAAGAACGAAAGUUAGGGGAUCAAAGACGAUCAGAUACCGUCGUAGUCUUAACCAUAAACUAUGCCGACUAGGGAUCGGAUGAUGUUAAUUUUUUAAUGACUCAUUCGGCGCCUUACGGGAAACCAAAGUGUUUGGGUUC